AAGACGAGGGCAAGGGAACCAAUUCAUUUCAGCACCUAGUCAUCAUGAAGCGCCUACUACGCACAAAGGACCGUGCUGUUGGGGUGGAAUGAAAAGGGGCCCAGGCAGAAGCCACGUUCGCUGGAAGGCGGGCAGAGCGCCACGGGAAGGCCUUGGAGCAGUGGGGACCCCAAAGCCCAGCAUCCCCAACUUCGGCGCGCAGAAGAGCCGCGGACUCCGGCGCUCCGCGCGCGCUCCCUGGGUCGGCGCCGCACGCGCACGCGCGCCCGCAGCCGCUCCCCCGCCCGCACAGCUCUGGCUCCCGCGCGCGCGCACUUGAGGCGUCCCUUGUGCGUCUCCUCCAUUCGCUACGUGCAGAAUGGGAAGACAAGCAUCUCACCGUGCGCACUCCGACAGGAGGGCAGGAGGCGGAAAGGUGGAAUAGCCCAGAAGAGCAGGCUGCUGCCCAGGCCCCUAGGCCACAUCCGAAGGACGUUAAGUCUAGAGCCCCAGGAAGGAAGGCGUCCUGGGUCAGUUUCAUUUCACAUAAACGGACUGUCCCUGGAUCCAGGGAAGCGGAUUCUCCCGUUUCCUCCCUGGUGCCUCAGUCUUUUUGGAGGCGCCCUCUGCUGGCCACUGGGAAGUGCAGGAAAGAACAGAGUCCUGCAGACUCAAAGAGCGUCUACAGAAAGGGACAAGAGGUAGAGACAACCGGGAGCCAACUGAGAGCGGUGGCUGGACUGCCACAAAUAAGAGAGGCAUGCUGAAGCCUUCUUGGAGGCCCCGUUCCAGACCCAGCCAGGGUGAAGAGGACUCCCAGGGGCGGAGAUCGAGGCCCAGGAGAGAACAGAGAGCAUCCUGCUUUAAUUGGAGAGCAUGAAGAGGUGGGCAAGGAUGUUCUGGAACACUGACCAUAGUCCAUCCUGAAUGGAAUUGGACUGACUCGACCCUCUCAUCUCCUGGAGCAGCUGGGUCUAAAGUGUGUGUGCACGGGUACAGACGUACAGGAGGAAAAUAUUAGGACGUCGCAGGUGCCCCAUAAAGAACCUGUUGAACUGUGAUUUGCCGUGAGCAUGGGAAGGAGAAUUCUGAAGGCAGACCGAUGAACCUUUGCAGAACACCUUCCUUCAGAAAUUAACAGCCACCUCAGCAGCCUGGGGUCCUCUCCAGGCUCACCCACUCCCUGGAGGGGCAUCCCAUCCCCACCUUUUUUCCACCCAACUCCUGUUUCUUUUUCUGCGCUGCGUUCACUUCAAG
rnacentral:lncRNA from 1 species